UCCAGACUCCUACGGGAGGCAGCAGUGAGGAAUAUUGGUCAAUGGCCGUAAGGCUGAACCAGCCAAGUAGCGUGAGGGAAGACUGCCCUAUGGGUUGUAAACCUCUUUUAUGCGGGGAUAAAGGUGUCCACGUGUGGAUGUUUGCAGGUACCGCAUGAAUAAGGACCGGCUAAUUCCGUGCCAGCAGCCGCGGUAAUACGGAAGGUCCGGGCGUUAUCCGGAUUUAUUGGGUUUAAAGGGAGCGUAGGCCGGUCUUUAAGCGUGCCGUGAAAUUUUGUGGCUCAACCAUGAGAGUGCGGCGCGAACUGGAGACCUUGAGUGCGCGGAAGGCAGGCGGAAUUCGUGGUGUAGCGGUGAAAUGCUUAGAUAUCAGGAGGAACAUCGGUGGCGUAAGCGCUUUACUGGGCCGUAAUUGACGCUGAGGAACGAAAGCCAGGGUAGCAAAUGGGAUUAGAUACCCGGGUAA
rnacentral:rRNA from 1 species